AAAGAAUGCCACAUGCAGACCCCAAUGAGCAAAGACUCCAUUUGGAGGGUGUGAUGAAAUCGCCUUUCCUUUGCUGCCACCAGUAUAACCAUGAGGAGAAUAUUAAGAACACUUUUACAGGGUGUCCCAGCUGCCUUCCAGGAUUUUCCUUUCUUCUAUAUCCCAUCUGUUCCUGACCAUCCUCAAGCAACAGUAAGCCUCCAGCCGGUAACUUCCAACUGUCACUUUCCCCUCUCUUUCCUGAACAGUAACAACAACAGCCCAGGUGAAGCCACACAACCCUAGAAACAUCCCUAGCAACAGUUACUACCUUAGACUUCUUCUUAACAAUGUAGCAGUUAACCUAUAAAUAAAAAAACUAUAUUUUCCACA